rnacentral:lncRNA from 1 species
CCGAAUCCUCUCCGGAUCCCGGUCCAUCUCCACCGUCCAUUCUCUCCCAUCGCUCCACGCUCCCUGCGCGGCUGCGCCUCCUCUCCUCUCCUCUCCUCGCCGCCACCGCCGCGGCGCCGCCGCCGGCCUAGACUCCCCCCCCCCCCCCCCUCUCUCUCUCCCUCUCCCUCUCUCUCCCAUCUCCUCUCCGGUCGAGCGCGCGUGCGGCCUCCCAAUCCCGACGCCGCCACCAGCCCAAACGCACACGCAGACACCUCGUCCGGCUCGGAGACUCAGCCCCGGCUCUCGCAUCAGGCGGAGGCGGGUGUUGCGGAGCUUGAUCCGUUGCUUUUGGCUAUUCCGCUCCUCACCCAGUGCCGGGAAAUCGGCGAGUUGUCCCCCCCUUGUUCUUCUUGCUAUCCGGGUCCGUGUGAUGAACGGCGGCAAGAAGUUCGGCGGCGGCCGCCCGCCGACGGGGACUCCGUCGCUGGCCUGGUCUUCCGUCGUCGUGGUCGUCUCCCUGCUUGCUGGAGCGUCCAUCGUGCACAACAUCUACAAGCCCAACAUGACCAUUCCACCGGUGGAGAGCACGGAUGGGGGCAAGCAGAGCUAGACAAGUUCAAAGGUUCGUGCUCAGAGUGUUAGAGGUUUCGUUUCUUUCUCGGUAUAUGCAUCCUCUUGUGAGAUGAGGCCGACGGUAGUCUUAUUCUGUCAGAAUUUUGAGAGCCAAAUUAAGCCUGCAGUAUUGCUCGCUAAGUAUUUUUUUAACAGACUGCUGCACUGCAUUUUAUUUAUUCUAGUACUUGGUUAAUUGGUGAUUGUCUCCCAAAACAUUAUGAUCCCAGUCUUGAAGGAAUGCAACUAGAGAAAGGGGAUGAGGCAA